rnacentral:rRNA from 1 species
UACGGAAGCGGCUAGCGUUGUUCGGAAUUACUGGGCGUAAAGAGCGCGUAGGCGGCUUACCAAGUUGGGGGUGAAAUCCCGGAGCUCAACUCCGGAACUGCCUUCAAAACUGGUAGGCUAGAGUCCGGAAGAGGGGCGUGGAAUUCCCAGUGUAGAGGUGAAAUUCGUAGAUAUUGGGAAGAACACCGGUGGCGAAGGCGGCGCCCUGGUACGGUACUGACGCUGAGGCGCGAAAGCGUGGGGAGUAAGCAGG